AUGGCAAGAAACAAGCCCAGCUAAGGCUGGACAUUUAUAAUUAAGAAUAAGUCUCCAUCUGUAAUUUAUUUGGAGCUGGGUGGUGGGCCCCCCAAAAGGGCAAAAACAACCAACAGACAGCAAAGAUGCCACCGAAGGAAAAUGCAUCGCAUGAGGAACCAGGUUCUGAUUCCUGUACUCCAGAGCUCAGUAAAGGGGGCCUCCACCUGGAGUGCAGCCACUUCUCAGCUGUAAGACAAGAUGGCUGCUUUCCAGCUAUGCCAUUCCUAAGCUGUCCUGGAGGUUCUCAGGAACAUGGUUCAUGGUGAAUCUACAAGAAGGUGCUGUCUAACUGUAGGUACUCAACAAUGGCAUUACCUGAGAGUGUGUUAGACUCUGAGGCCCCACCCCAGAACUGCUGAACAGAAUCUGUACUUUAACAAUGUUCCCGGGGAAUCUGAGAUCAGAAGAGCA